AGAUUUCACGUGCAAGACACACACCAUGCGGUCGGCCAUUGUACAAUAUCUUCUUCUUUUCUGGAAGUUUGUGAUACCAUAAUGCCUCGAGACUGGAUCAUCGGAUUCUGAUGGAUUUGAUUUGCCUGAUCCAUUUGUGGAAUACAGUCUUGUAGCUACGUCGACCUCGCCAAAUGUCUUCACUAUGGGCAACGUAACUACACCAGCAUCACAAGUACCGGUAACACCAACCACAACAAUGCCUGUCGUGACACCACCAGUAAGGCCCAUCACAACAAUUUAACUCCUAUCUCUACAAUGUCGGCCAUAACAGCCCCAACAACACCAGUACUUGUACAGACACCAGCACCAACCCUAUGGGCCAAUGCUGGGACACCAACAGUCUCAAUGAGACUUCCAACAGAUGGGGAUUGUUGAAUCUAAACUGAUAGACAACGGAGUGCCUUCUUGGUGCCAUGUGGACAUACGUUUUGCAUGGUAUGUGCAUUGCACCUGGAAUCUACCAGCAGAUUGUGUGCAAUCUGCAGAACAGUCAUAACUAAAGUCAACCUUUAUACAAUUAACUGUUCUUUGGAAAAAUUAACCGUAUGCCAUCUUUGAUUGCAUAUAUCUAAAUGAUGCUAAUAGCUACUAGUGACGAGUACAUGCCAGUACUGCACUUAUACAAGCUAGGUUGAACGUUUCUUUUUCAGUGAAAUAACUAUUUCUCCUGAUGUUUGAGAGCACUGCCGAUAGCAUCAAUAUGUUUACAUUAUCUCAAUCUGUAUGAAUUGUAAUAGGUAAUAAUGGCCCCGAAAUGACAACAGAUGGCCCCGAUUGACUUCUGCAAUGUAUAAGGCGAUUUAACUUCCUGAACAAUGUCUGUAGUUCGUAAAAUACAAUUUGAACUGUGCACGUUCGAUUUGUAU